rnacentral:misc_RNA from 1 species
GCGGGAGGGUUCCCAAUGAUGGAGCAAGAACUGACGUCUCUUGCCGCGGUAGGAGGAGUUGGAGAAGAAACGGAAGUAGAAGUAGAAGAAGGGACGGAGAGUUGCACAAACUUGACGGAAUCGCUGCCAAUAAUGGGGACUUCCAUACCUGCUAAACACGACUGACUUCCCAUUGUUCAAAACAAAAUCAGUUCUUCGAUUGGGGGAAGAAGAAAAUGGGGGGUGGGAACUGAAAAAGGC